rnacentral:rRNA from 1 species
ACAUGCAAGUCGAACGAACCAUCCUGAAGAUUGAAGCUUGCUUCAUGAUUCAGAUUUUGGUGAGUGGCGGACGGGUGAGUAACACGUGGGUAACCUGCCCAAAAGUGGGGGAUAACAUUUGGAAACAAGUGCUAAUACCGCAUAACAACUACUUUCACAUGAUCGUAGCUUGAAAGAUGGCUCUGCUAUCGCUUUUGGAUGGACCCGCGGCGUAUUAGCUAGUUGGUGAGGUAAUGGCUCACCAAGGCAAUGAUACGUAGCCGACCUGAGAGGGUAAUCGGCCACAUUGGGACUGAGACACGGCCCAAACUCCUACGGGAGGCAGCAGUAGGGAAUCUUCCACAAUGGGCGAAAGCCUGAUGGAGCAAUGCCGCGUGAGUGAAGAAGGUUUUCGGAUCGUAAAACUCUGUUGUUGAAGAAGAACAUGCGUGAGAGUAACUGUUCACGUACUGACGGUAUUCAACCAGAAAGCCACGGCUAACUACGUGCCAGCAGCCGCGGUAAUACGUAGGUGGCAAGCGUUGUCCGGAUUUAUUGGGCGUAAAGAGAAUGUAGGCGGUUUAUUAAGUUUGAAGUGAAAGCCCUCGGCUCAACCGAGGAAGUGCUUCGAAAACUGGUAAACUUGAGUGCAGAAGAGGAAAGUGGAACUCCAUGUGUAGCGGUGGAAUGCGUAGAUAUAUGGAAGAAACCAGUGGCGAAGGCGGCUUUCUGGUCUGUAACUGACGCUGAGAUUCGAAAGCAUGGGUAGCAAACAGGAUUAGAUACCCUGGUAGUCCAUGCCGUAAACGAUGAGUGCUAAGUGUUGGAGGGGUUCCGCCCUUCAGUGCUGCAGCUAACGCAUUAAGCACUCCGCCUGGGGAGUACGACCGCAAGGUUGAACUCAAAGGAUUGACGGGGGCCGCACAAGCGGUGGAGCAUGUGGUUUAAUUCGAAGCACGCGAAGAACUUACCAGGUCUUGACAUACCAUGAAAGCUAAAGAU